CCCACCCCAGGGCAGGGGCAAGAGGCAGCAGGGGCAGGAGGAAAGGGCUGCCCCCACCCAGCAGGCAAAGGGGCUCCAUCUUUCCACAACUUCAUUCUUGCGAGCUGGGCAGGCGGGGUCUCAGCCACACCAGGCCCUCACCAGGCCUCUGCCCUCACAUGUGGCGCCUGGGCACAGGACACUGGAGAGGGAGACACCACCUCUGCCGGGCAGCAUCUGCUGUGGGCUCAUCCUCAUCCUGCCGUGCCUCGAGAGAGUCUGUGCCAAGCUCCAAGAAAAAUCAAGGCCUAAUUUGGCAAGAACAAGGAGAGGGGAGGAGCUGCAAGGGCAAAGGCACAGGCUUUUGGAAGCAGAGCGCCAGCUCCCGCAGGGAUCUCCAGAGGAGAGCAACAGCAUGUGACAGUGACACGCCAGGCUGCAGAUGCUGCGCUCCUGGACUGUGCAGGUGGAGCAGGGCCCAACGGGGCAUGGACCCAGUGAGCAGCAGCUCCCGGCCGGGCCCUCCCAGGGAGCAGGAGCUCUCCUAAUAAAGUCACGUCCAUUGAAAUAAG